rnacentral:tRNA from 1 species
GGCAGUGUAGCAUAGUGGUAAGGAGCAGGGCUCGUGACCAAAAGGUUCCUGGUUCGAUUCCCCUCCAUGGCACUGCUG